rnacentral:rRNA from 1 species
UACAGGGGGGGCAAGCGUUGUUCGGAAUUACUGGGCGUAAAGGGCCAGUAGGCGGCCAACUAAGUCCGACGUGAAAUCCCCAGGCUUAACCUGGGAACUGCGUCGGAUACUGGAUGGCUUGAAUUCGGGAGAGGGAUGCAGAAUUCCAGGUGUAGCGGUGAAAUGCGUAGAGAUCAUGAGGAAGACCAGUGGCGAAGGCGGGUCUCUGGACAGUUCCUGACACUGAGGCACGAAAGCGUGGGGAGCAAACAGG